rnacentral:tRNA from 1 species
AAGCCUAUAAUUUAAAUGUAAGAAUGAUUUCUAAUGAGGAAUAUAUAGAAGUUCGACUCUUCUUGGGCUUA